AAUCAACGCUGGCGGCGUGCCUCAGACAUGCAAGUCGAACGCGAAAAUCCCCUUCGGGGGAGUGAGUAGAGUGGCGCACGGGUGAGUAACACGUAGGUAAUCUACCUUCGGAUGGGGAAGUAACAACCGGAAACGGUUGCUAAUACCGCAUAAUGCAGCGGCACCUAAUGGUGACAGUUGUUAAAGCGGGGGAGUCGAAAGACCUCGCGUCUGAAGAGGAGCCUGCGGCGGAUUAGCUAGUUGGUAAGGUAACGGCUUACCAAGGCGACGAUCCGUAGCCGGCCUGAGAGGGCGGUCGGCCACACUGACACUGACAUACGGGUCAGACUCCUACGGAGGCAGCAGUCGGGAAUUUUGGGCAAUGGGCGAAAGCCUGACCCAGCAACGCCGCGUGAAGGAUGAAGUCCUU
rnacentral:rRNA from 1 species